AUAGACGAUUACAAAUGCUAUUUAUUUCUUUGCAUGUUAGUUUAUUAAAUACUGAACUACUUUAAACAUGUGAUAGAAGUUUAUGUCAAGACAAGAAAUUCAAGGGGAGUACAGAAUCAAACAUUAAACAUGUUCCAAAUAAUAUCAUUGAAGUACAACAUUAAACAUAGAUUUUCGAUAACAUUAUACCUAGCUAGUCAAUAAGAUUAUACCUAGCUAGCCAAUACAUUCAUGCAAGUUACAUUUGUCUAGCAGCGCUAGCUAUAAAGACACAGCCUUUUCAAAAGUGUCGAUGAGGAUAUGUUCCGCUUCUAUAAACUCUCAACUAGUCCGCUAGCAACCCAAUCCAGCACCUGUGGCCUUCUCGUGUGGUUCAGACAUUAACUGAGGAGAAGACCUGUUGGCGACCUGACACAUCUCUUCCAACUGGGUAGUAAUUUAUAUUUGCAUAAGCAGUAGAAUACGUACAUAUAAUGUAAACACAACGAACGAAUGUAGGGACAGAAAUAUAUAUAUAUAUCUAUUAGUGUUCUGAUAUCUAUCUCGCCGUCUGAUGCUGUUUAUCCUCCCCCCUAACCCCUCCUUAUCUAGCCUCCACUGCCUAGCAGUCUAAGUCUUGAGUCAACCAGGAGGGGAAAUCACAAGAGGAGGAGCCCAAGGAAUGUACCUUUAAAACGGGACGAUUGCAUUGUCUUUUAAGUCAAAGAGCAAAAUGUUUAUAAAGUAUGACGCAAGGGUUUUAUAUAUAAAAUAAACAGAAGAAUUACCUGGUGUACAGUUUGACAAUAAAUAUUUGGCUUACACUACAACACCAGUUCAGCAUCAUGCAUAGUCAAUUUAUUGUUUAUUACACUAAUCAAUGCUUUGAAUGUAAUUAUCUAAAAUUGCGACAGCUCAAGUGAACGUUAAGACUUUACUAUAUUGUAUUAUAGUGUGCCUAAAAGCUUGACCAUGUUGUUUACUAAUGCAUUAUGACCUAAUCUUGAGCCAAAGCGAUACAGGUAUAGGCCUCGGCUCAAAUGUCUAUGCACUUGACCAAAGUAUUUGUCGUUAGCAGAAACAUAAAAUAUAAACAAACGUUAUCGUUAAUCGAACAAACAAAAAUCGUAUUGAAUAAUAACGUAGUGUAAAAUAAUGCACAAAAUAAUAAUGAAAAUUAAACAACAGAUUAAAAAAAACACACACACACAAACAAAAUAUAAAUAUACCUUUCACUAUUUAAAUCACGGGGUUUGCAAAUAGGACUUAUCAUAGAUAUAUAAUUGAAACAAAGAUACAAUGCAAAUAGAUAGAGAUAGAUCUAGGCAUACGAAUAAUUUUUUUUGGGGGGGGGGGGGGUGAAUGA